UUUAAAUGGCCGCAGUAUACUGACUGUGCAAAGGUAGCAUAAUCAAUAGUCUUUUAAUUGGAGGCUAGAAUGAAUGGUUGGACGAGAUAUUAACUGUUUCAUUUAAAUUUAUAAAAGAAUUUUAUUUUUUAGUUAAAAAGCUAAAAUGAUUUUAAAAGACGAGAAGACCCUAUAAAUCUUUAUAUUUGUUUUAUUAUAAUUUUAUAGAUAUUUUUUAUUAUAAUAAUUUAUAAUAUUUUAUUGGGGUGAUAUUAAAAUUUAACAAACUUUUAAUUUAAUUAAACAUUUAUUUAUGAAUUUUUGAUCCAUUAAUGAUGAUUAAAAAUUUAAGUUACUUUAGGGAUAACAGCGUAAUUUUUUUGGAGAGUUCAUAUCGAUAAAAAAGAUUGCGACCUCGAUGUUGGAUUAAGAUAUAAUAUUAGGUG
rnacentral:rRNA from 1 species